GUUGCAUCCGUUGUUCACAGUACGAGCAGCCCUUAGCGGCUCCCCAUCUCACAAGUGUUUAUGAAGUCGGCUUUCCGGCUUAGAUCUUUUUUAUUGUGUGACAUGUUUCACAUCAGGCCCUGCGUGUGCUCCAUCAGUUUCAAUCACUUUCAUCAAUAUGGUAUUGUUCAAAGGUAUUGUUCCUCCAAAAGGUUGUGAUGAGUUCAUGUACAGUGGACAGAAAGGCUUGCAGAGGUUCUUUGUUCUUGCCCUACUGUGUGUGCCUUGGAUACUUCUUGCAAAACCCAAUGUUUCGAUAAUGACCGCAAAGCCCACCAACUGUUUGCUCUUUCAUUUAACAGACAAUCUUCUGACUUUCCCCAACUUUCAAGCCAUCCCGUACCUGCAGAGAAUGGCAUGGAUGCGGAGGUGGGAUCAAUGUCAGGGACAGCACACUAAGGACAGUAAAGAUGGGGCUCCCGUGCUGCAGAGCAGUGAAGACCACGACCUGGGAGAAAUCUUCAUCCAUCAGGGCAUCCACACGAUGGAGUACGUGCUAGGCUCUCACGCUGCCUUGUAUCUGUGACUUUGGGCACUGUCACUGGUGCAUGCCUGACCUGCACAACCUACCAAGCAGAACACUGCCGCCUCCUGACAGUUCUCUCAAAACCCAGUAAUGUAAGCACGGGGGUUAGAAUGCAUUCGAGUCUCACAGCGAGACCACUGACAAGGUUUUG